GUUGGUUUAUUGAGAGGUUCUGUGCAGAAUCAGUCCUGGCAGGAUUCCCAGCGGGAUGAAGUGGGCGACUGCACUGAGCCUGUUUCUGGCUUUUUUAUCCCAUGUUCACUCCAAUCUCUUGUUGACACAGCCGGUGGCGGAUACCGCCAGACCCAGGGGCUCCAUCACACUGACUUGUAAAACCAGCGGGCUAGAUAUUAUAAACUCCUGGAUGGGCUGGGUGCGUCAGGUACCCGGCCAGCGGAUUGAGUGGCUGCUUUUGUACCACUCUUCUCCCAGCCAGCUAUUCGCCGCGGGGAUCCAAAGUAGGUUUACUCCGUACAAAGACACUGCAAAGAGUGUUUUUGCCUUGACCGUGAACAACUUGAGGGAGGAGGACACCGCCGUCUAUCACUGUGUGAGAUGGAGCACAGUGAGCGACCUGGACUACUGGGGAGGAGGCACCAUGCUUACGGUGACUGACGCGGCACCAUCGGCCCCCACUCUCUACCCUCUUCCCUCCUGUGCGCCACCCAGUCCCACCGACACGUUCACCUUCGGAUGUUUGGCGAUGGACUACUCUCCAACGGGCAUCGGCUUUUCCUGGAAGAAAGGCAAAGUAUCGAUAACCACCGGAAUGAGGAACUACCCCGCCGUGUUCAACAAGAAGGGAUCUUACAUCCGCAGCAGCCAGUUAACAGUUACCGAGAGAGAGGCGGGGAACAGCGCCUUCUACUGCGUGGUUCGGUACGGGGAUACAGUCAAGGAAGUCAGAAUGCCCGUUCGAAUGGUGCAUCAUCCAACCGUCAUAAUCACCGUGACUUCCAAUGAGGAAAUCAAAACGAGCAGCAACGGGACAGCCGUGUGUUCCAUGACCGAUUUCCGGCCAGCGCAACUAACCGUAAACUGGCUGAAGAAUGGACAGUCCCUGGAUUCAGGCGUCGUCACCAGUCCCUCCUUUGAGGUUGACGGGAACUUCUCCGCGACAAGCCAGGUGACAUUCUCAGCCGCAGAGUGGUUUAGUGGUUCAGUCUAUACUUGCCAGGUCACCCAUGAAGAAGACACGCAAAGCCGAAACAUCAGCAUCUCUCGAGAUCGUAACUCAUGCGAAGAAGAGCAUAUUACAAUUCAGCAGCCGCCACUGGAACAGGUCUUACUUGAAGCGACCGUUACAUUAACCUGCGUCGUCUCUCAUGCUCCUUAUGGCGUCCUGGUGUCUUGGAUCCAAAGAACUACGCCUUUGAAAUCUGAGAUUACCUUCCAGCCCGGCGCUUCCCCCGACAGCAUCAUCAGCAACCUGAACAUCUCGACUCAAGCUUGGCUAAGUGGGGACGAUUUCCACUGCAUCGUGAGCCACGAGGAAAUGCCGACUCCUAAAAGGGCUUCCAUCCGCAACGAAAAAGACCCACACCCUCGAGAACCGUCCGUCUCUGUCUUCCUUCCGCCGACAGGUGAAAUCCCCGCUCACAGAUCCAUCGCCCUCACCUGCUUAGUCAGAGGUUUCUCCCCUCGUCGUAUCUUCCUCAAGUGGACGGUCGAUGACAAGCCGGUUGAUUCGCGCAACUACAGGAACACCGACGUGGUUGCGGAGAAAGACAACAGCUCCUUCUUCAUGUACAGUCUGUUAUACGUCGGGGCGGAGAAGUGGAACAGUGGAACUUCUGUCUCGUGUGUGGUGGGACACGAAAGCCUCUCCAUGAAGACGAUUGCCAGAACGGUGAAUCGAUCCAGCGGUAAACCUAGUUUUGUCAACGUUUCCCUUGUACUGUUGGACACUGUCAAUUCUUGUCAAUGAGAAUCACUCGAAUGCAUUGAGUUAUCAAAUAAAUACGAAUAAAUGCG